rnacentral:rRNA from 1 species
ACUCCGGUUGAUCCUGCCGGACCCGACCGCUAUCGGGGUAGGGCUAAGCCAUGGGAGUCGAACGCCCCGCCGCUGCGGGGCGUGGCGGACGGCUGAGUAACACGUGGCUAACCUACCCUCGGGACGGGGAUAACCCCUGGGGAAACUGGGGCUAAUCCCCGAUAGGCGGGGGGUGCCUGGAAGGGUCCUCCGCCGAAAGGGGCCGCGGGGGGUUAUCGCCCGCGGUCCGCCCGAGGAUGGGGCUGCGGCCCAUCACGGUAGUUGGCGGGGUAAUGGCCCGCCAAGCCUACGACGGGUAGGGGCCGUGAGAGCGGGAGCCCCCAGAUGGGCACUGAGACAAGGGCCCAGGCCCUACGGGGCGCACCAGGCGCGAAAACUCCGCAAUGCGGGCAACCGUGACGGGGCUACCCCGAGUGCCCCCCUUGGGGGGGCUUUUCCCCGCUGUAAGUAGGCGGGGGAAUAAGCGGGGGGCAAGACUGGUGUCAGCCGCCGCGGUAAUACCAGCCCCGCGAGCGGUCGGGGUGCUUACUGGGCCUAAAGCGCCCGUAUCCGGCUCGACAAGUCCCCGCCUAAAGCCCCGGGCUCAACCCGGGGAGUGGCGGGGAUACUGUCGGGCUAGGGGGCGGGAGAGGCCGAGGGUACUCCCGGGGUAGGGGCGAAAUCCAUUAAUCCCGGGAGGACCACCAGUGGCGAAGGCGCUCGGCUGGAACGCGCCCGACGGUGAGGGGCGAAAGCCGGGGGAGCGAACCGGAUUAGAUACCCGGGUAGUCCCGGCUGUAAACGAUGCGGGCUAGGUGUUGGGCGGGCGUGCGAGCCCGCCCAGUGCCGCAGGGAAGCCGUUAAGCCCGCCGCCUGGGGAGUACGGCCGCAAGGCUGAAACUUAAAGGAAUUGGCGGGGGAGCACCACAAGGGGUGGAGCCUGCGGCUUAAUUGGAGUCAACGCCGGGAACCUCCACCGGGGGCGACAGCAGGAUGACGGCCAGGCUGAAGGCCUUGCCCGACGCGCUGAGGGGAGGUGCAUGGCCGUCGCCAGCUCGUGCCGUGAGGUGUCCUGUUAAGUCAGGCAACGAGCGAGACCCCCGCCCCUAGUUGCCAUCCCCGGGGCGACCCGGGGGGCACACUAGGGGGACUGCCGCCGCUAAGGCGGAGGAAGGAGGGGGCAACGGCAGGUCAGCAUGCCCCUAAACCCCCGGGCUGCACGCGGGCUACAAUGGCGGGGACAGCGGGUGCCGACCCCGAAAGGGGGAGGCAAUCCCUCAAACCCCGCCUCAGUUGGGAUCGAGGGCUGCAACUCGCCCUCGUGAACGUGGAAUCCCUAGUAACCGCGCGUCAUCAUCGCGCGGUGAAUACGUCCCUGCUCCUUGCACACACUGCCCGUCGCUCCACCCGAGGGGGGAGGGGGUGAGGCCCUCUCCGCCGGGAGGGGGUCGAACCCCCUCCCCCCGAGGGGGGAGAAGUCGUAACAAGGUAGCCGUAGGGGAACCUGCGGCUGGAUCACCUC